UGGAAGGUAGCUCAACUGGCAGAGCAACGGUUUUUGGUACCGUCGGUUGCAGGUUCGAAUCCUGCCCUUCCAACCA
rnacentral:tRNA from 1 species